CUUAUUCAUCACAAGGAAAUUUUCUGAGGUCAAUCUGUAUUAAAGCAAGUCUUGCCUUUGGGCCCAAGAAGGUAUAAAGUUCAGAGGUGAUUGCUGCUUUUUGACUGUAAAGAAUUUUAUUGAAACUCAUCUUUCCAAGACUGGCCUUCAUUUAACAUUGUUAAAAAAAAAAAAAAAGCUUUAUGAUCUUUUGAAAUUCAGUAAUUUUCCGAUUUAACCCACACUUAAGAACUUUAUGACAUAGUCUAAGAAUUUAAAGUGUAAGAGAAGAGUGCUAAGAGCAUUUGAUUCUGUCGUCUUGCUAAGAAACAUAUUCCAUUUCGCAGACUUUAAAUAUUAAAUUCCAUGAUGGUCAAAAAAAAAGCGAGAAAUGUCAGC
rnacentral:lncRNA from 1 species